CCUGGUUUGAGCGAAUCAAGUACGAGAAGAUAAAUACUUGAACUCAAACCUGUGUGCUCUUGUGAUAAAGAACCCGUACAAUCCACGACUCGAUCAAGAUCUAAAGGUAGAAAUGGAAUGAAAGCAUGUAUGAAUACAUUCAUAUAAAGAAACUAACGGUUUUAUAUGUGCAAGGUAAACAUAAGUGUCUGAAGAGGAUGGUCGUGGAUGCAGGAUAGGAUGAAUACUAAGGCUGGCAAAGGUGUAAAUAAGCUAAUGAACCCCAGGUACACACUAUUAAUAUGUAUGGGUAUCAAUGUUGAAAGAAAAAGGAAGAAAUCUCCUUGGGAAGGUAAUUAUUAAACGAAAGGCAAUGAUGUGGUCUUGGGGAAAUUUUAGAAAUGUGCACGAAACUGAAACCCAUUUCUCGGACAUAAGGCGAUGAUUACACGAAGGCACGAAACUAGUAUGUGGAUUGCGCACCUGGCCAGUACGCAAGAAGCAUAUGACGUUCGUGAGACCGUGGUAAUCAUCGCAGGUGUGUCCGGUAGAACUGGGUAACAGGUGGGCGUGUGGUGAAAUGGGUAGUAAGACUCUCGGGAAAUUGAGAGUACUAUGUAAGAGUGAAAAGUAUGAGUGAUAAGAAUGAAGAAUGUUGAAUCCGUAAGACAGUACGGAUCAGCAAUGUAUGAAUGAAAUGUUUGAAUCCGCGAGACGGAUUCAAAGAAUGAAAGAUGCGAAUGCAAUGUUUGAAUCCGCAAGACGGAUUCAAAACAUAGAAGGUACGAAAGGUAUGAAUAAUGCAUUCGAAUCCGCGAAACAUAUUUAAGGUAUAAAAGGCGAAACUAGUCUACAUAAGAAGUGUCGAUAGUUUGACCGUGAUUGUGUUAAAUGAGUCAUAUGGGCAAAUGUAAAGUAAAGAAACAAAAGAAUGAUCGUAAUGAGCAUGCAGACCUAAGUUAUAAAACGAAAGAAGGAAGUUUUGAACAAGGUAUGUGUUAAAUGUGUUAGAAAUCGACUCUUAGAAGUCAGAAUGAAUGACGGGCUAUGACCCAGACAAUGGUUUAAGUAUGAACAAAAAGGGUAAAUUUGUUAAGAAUACUAAAACGAUGUAAUGAAUGUUUUUGUAAGUAAGCAUGAAUGGAAGGAAGCACGAAUGUGUACUUCAAUGCAUCUAUGAUAAGUAAGAAAAUUCAGUUUAACCUUAAAAGGUCAAACUGCAAAGGUUGACGAAAUAAGUAACUAAAAUGAAAGGAUUGCGUGUAAGAAAUGGAAUGUAAGAUGUGUUAUAGUAUGUACGCAGGAAAUAUGUAACAGAAUUAUAGGUGUGUAAUCACCUAGUGUUAUGAAUGUUUGAAUGACAUAUGCUAACCGCCGAUGUUGUUGAUGAUAAUGUUAGAACUAUUGAUGCGAUGAAACCAAUCGUAUUGGUGAAAGGACGUGCACGAGCGGAAGCUCAUAACACGAAGGAAUGAAACUUGGCCUGUACGGCUAGUGCACGAGGAGAAGAUGAUCGAUCAGGGUUGCGGAUCGUGGUUGGGAAAUGAAAAAGAGAAAUUCAGCAAAUUGAGGAUGAAAUAGGACAAGAUUCUUAUGCAUGUGAUGAAAUUCUUAAUCAUCUAAGAGUUCUCUACAUAAGGAUAGGAACCACACUAGCAUGGACCAAGCAUGAAAGGCUAA